rnacentral:rRNA from 1 species
GACGAACGCUGGCGGCGUGCCUAAUACAUGCAAGUAGAACGCUGAAGGAGGAGCUUGCUCUUCUGGAUGAGUUGCGAACGGGUGAGUAACGCGUAGGUAACCUGCCUGGUAGCGGGGGAUAACUAUUGGAAACGAUAGCUAAUACCGCAUAACAGUAGAUGUUGCAUGACAUUUGCUUAAAAGGUGCAAUUGCACCACUACCAGAUGGACCUGCGUUGUAUUAGCUAGUUGGUGGGGUAACGGCUCACCAAGGCGACGAUACAUAGCCGACCUGAGAGGGGGGUCGGCCGCACUGGGACUGGGACACGGCCCAGACUCCUACGGGAGGCAGCAGUAGGGUAUCUUCGGCAAUGGACGGAAGUCUGACCGAGCAACGCCGCGUGAGUGAAGAAGGUUUUCGGAUCGUAAAGCUCUGUUGUAAGAGAAGAACGAGUGUGAGAGUGGAAAGUUCACACUGUGACGGUAUCUUACCAGAAAGGGACGGCUAACUACGUG